CUCCAUUAGCAGAGCCCGGGCCGGCAGCCGGCAGAAACGUCUGCUGAGGAAGACACUGCAAAGUGUCAGCAAGGGCAUCUGGGAAUUAAUUUCACCCUAGAGUAGCUGUGCAGGUCUGUUGAGCCCCCAACUCUACAGCUAUGAACACCAGAUAACACUAGAAGCAGUCUGAUGCCUUGAACACCUCAUACGAAGGGGUUUUCAAAAUCUAGCCACAAACAUAUGACCAGAUUUGAAAGAUUUUGAGACGAGGAAGGAGUCUAUUCUGACACAGCCUCACACAGGAGAGAGAUGACCACCUUCUUGCAGUGUCCUCGCAAGUCAAAGAGGGAUGCAAGAGAGCACAUCUUAGAUCAGCCCUCAGCACACAGAACAAGAUGAAGAAUGGCGGAAAGUGGGUCUGGAGGAAAAUGGAGAACAUCCCUCAGAACUGAGAUUUAAACCCUGGUUUGUCUAACUCCAAAGUUUUUGUUUUUCUCAAAAUUCCAGUGUCUUAAAUUCUAGAUACUUAAAUUAGUGUCUUACCUAGGAGCUCAUAAUUUCAGUUUCUAACACCUUGAUCUCCAAAUGCAAAUUCCAUUCUUAGACAUGUGACUUUGGCAGCCAUUAACUUCCCAGAUAACCUUAUUUCUUCUAAGUCAUCUUCCAAAUAAUGACCCAAGGAAACACAGAGGAAAGCCAUGCCAGUACCCAUGCCAGGACUGCAGUGUCCUGUUGAGCAUAUUAGAAUCCCUGGAGAUAUUGAUAACAUUUGCCCACACAAAUGAUUCGUUAAGAGUGGGAUAUCUUAGCAGACUCUGCCACAGCCCAGAUACCUGCUCCAAAAAGUCAGUCCUUUCCUGAUUGGAUGACUGGCCCAACUCAUGGUCCUUUGAAAUCCUUUACUCCUUGGUUUUCUCUGACCUUUUUUCUCCCAUUCCAUCUACCUCUUUCUUAAGAAGGAAUACCAAGAGGCAUUUAUCAACCUCUUUCCUAUCCUACUCAGUCAGGGAAGUCUUCCAGUGACUGCUGGUUACUGAUUUCUGUAUAAUCAACAUGGCGUCAUCGAUGGACAGUGUCUUCCAUGACUCUGCCAAAGAUGAGGAAAUAGUGAUUGUAUUGGUCAGUUCCCAAGACAAAAAGUGAGCCACUUUUUCAAGCAGACAGUAUCACUGUUUUUAACAGGCAUGUAAAAUUAAAAAAAAAAAGUCAUGUGAAAUAAAACAUAAUUAUACAUGCAGAAAAUCCUAAGAAAUCUACAUAAAACAAGAACUAAUAGGUGAAUUUAGCAAAGUCACAGGUUACAAGGUAAUUAUAUAAAAUAAAUUACAUUUUCAUAGACUAUCUGUGAAAAAUUAGAAAAUGAAAUCAAAGAAAAAGUACCAAUUACAGUAACAUAAAAAACAAAACAUUUAGGAAUAUGUUUAACACAUAUAUGCAAGACCUGUACACUGUAAACUACAAAAUGUUGCUGUGAUAAAUUGAGAAUAACUAAAUAAAUUGAAAGAUAUAAAAAAAGAAAGAGAUACACAUAUGUUCAUGAAUUUCAAGUCUCAAUAUUGUUAAGAUAUAAAUUUAUUUAUAGAUUGAAUCUCAAUAUUGUUAAGAUAUAAAUUUAUUUAUAGAUUCAAUGUUAUCCCUAUCAAAACCCCCGCAGUCUUUUUUGGUAGAAAUUGACACACUGAUUCUAAAAUAUAUAUGGAAUUGCAAAUGAUUGAGAACAUCCAAAACAAUUUUGAAAAAGGAGAAAAAAGUUGGAGGACUUACCUGACUUCAAGACUUAGUAUAAAUUAUAGUAAUCAAGACAGUGUGGUAUUGGUAUAAGGAUAGACAAAUGGAUCAACGAAGCAGAUUAGAGAAUUCACACAUAUAUUUUCAACAAAGGUGACAAAGUUAUUCAAUGAGGAAAGGGCAGUCUUCAAUAAAUGUUGCAGGAAUCACUGGAUAUCUGUAUGGGAAAAGGUGAACUUAACCUUACCUCACAUCAUACACAAAAAUUAACCUGACAUAGACUAUUGAACAAAACAGAAAACUAAAACUAUAAAACCCCUAGAGGAAAACAUAAGAGAAAUCUUUGAGACUUUGAAGUUGACAAAGAAUUUUUACUCAGGACACAAAAGGCAUUAAACAUAAAAUAAAAAACUGAUAAAUUUAACAACAGUAGUCCUGAGGCUACCGCCUGGGCAGUUUAAGACAAAUUGGCACCUAGGUGAGUCUCUUUUUCUCUGUGUAUUUUUGCCCUUGUGUUAACGAGCAUGUUAAAUUGACCCUUGGCUAAAGCUUUUGAGUUCUCCAUAACUCCAGCCCAGCCUGCCAAAGUUCUCUGUGCUGGACUGGGUCUCAAUUCCAGUGGACAAUAUGAUGUGAAUGUAACUUUC